rnacentral:rRNA from 2 species
CGACGUCAAAGCGUUCAUUAAAGUCGAGUUGGCUUAGGGAUACGUUCGUUGGGUAGGGGAGCGUUCUGUAAGCCUGUGAAGGUGUGUCGUGAGGCAUGCUGGAGGUAUCAGAAGUGCGAAUGCUGACAUAAGUAACGAUAAAGCGGGUGAAAAGCCCGCUCGCCGGAAGACCAAGGGUUCCUGUCCAACGUUAAUCGGGGCAGGGUGAGUCGACCCCUAAGGCGAGGCCGAAAGGCGUAGUCGAUGGGAAACGGGUUAAUAUUCCCGUACUUGGUGUUACUGCGAAGGGGGGACGGAGAAGGCUAUGUUGGCCGGGCGACGGUUGUCCCGGUUUAAGCGUGUAGGUGUGUGUUCCAGGUAAAUCCGGUUCACUUUAACACUGAGGCGUGACGACGAGGCACUACGGUGCUGAAGCAACAAAUGCCCUGCUUCCAGGAAAAGCCUCUAAGCAUCAGGUAACAUCAAAUCGUACCCCAAACCGACACAGGUGGUCAGGUAGAGAAUACCAAGGCGCUUGAGAGAACUCGGGUGAAGGAACUAGGCAAAAUGGUGCCGUAACUUCGGGAGAAGGCACGCUGACACGUAGGUGAAGUGAUUUACUCAUGGAGCUGAAGUCAGUCGAAGAUACCAGCUGGCUGCAACUGUUUAUUAAAAACACAGCACUGUGCAAACACGAAAGUGGACGUAUACGGUGUGACGCCUGCCCGGUGCCGGAAGGUUAAUUGAUGGGGUCAGCGCAAGCGAAGCUCCUGAUCGAAGCCCCGGUAAACGGCGGCCGUAACUAUAACGGUCCUAAGGUAGCGAAAUUCCUUGUCGGGUAAGUUCCGACCUGCACGAAUGGCGUAAUGAUGGCCAGGCUGUCUCCACCCGAGACUCAGUGAAAUUGAACUCGCUGUGAAGAUGCAGUGUACCCGCGGCAAGACGGAAAGACCCCGUGAACCUUUACUAUAGCUUGACACUGAACAUUGAGCCUUGAUGUGUAGGAUAGGUGGGAGGCUUUGAAGUGUGGACGCCAGUCUGCAUGGAGCCGACCUUGAAAUACCACCCUUUAAUGUUUGAUGUUCUAACGUGGACCCGUAAUCCGGGUUGCGGACAGUGUCUGGUGGGUAGUUUGACUGGGGCGGUCUCCUCCUAAAGAGUAACGGAGGAGCACGAAGGUUGGCUAAUCCUGGUCGGACAUCAGGAGGUUAGUGCAAUGGCAUAAGCCAGCUUGACUGCGAGCGUGACGGCGCGAGCAGGUGCGAAAG